UAUUUAACCGAAAAAAAUUCGAUUCCCAUAUUUAUUUUUCUUUACAAAAGUUGCUCUUGGAUCGGAGCAUGCUAUAAUUAAUUAAUUAAUAAGCUUUCAGUGUUGUAAAUUUCAUUAGACAUUGAAUAUCAUAUAGGAUCAAUACAACAAUCAAUACAGUAACGUUACGAAUGAAUCCAAAUUACAUUUAGUGUAUAUAAUAAAAUACCAACUCUAUUUUCAUAUUUUUUAUAUAUUAAGUAUACAGUAAGAUAUUAAUAAUUAAACAAAUUAAAUAAAAUUUGUUCUUUUUUUUUUUUUUGGUUAUAAUUUAUAAGCAGUGACUAAGUUCUUCAAAACCAGAGGCUCUUCCUCCAGCAUUAACACAUGAAGCAUCAGCUCGACCAUCUUU
rnacentral:lncRNA from 1 species